CCUACGGGAGGCAGCCGUGGGGAAUAUUGCGCAAUGGGCGAAAGCCUGACGCAGCGACGCCGCGUGAGGGAUGAAGGUCUUCGGAUCGUAAACCUCUGUCAGCAGGGAAGAACGGUCACUGUGCUAAUCAGCAGUGAAUUGACGGUACCUGCAAAGGAAGCACCGGCUAACUCCGUGCCAGCAGCCGCGGUAAUACGGAGGAGGCGAGCGUUAUCCGGAUUUAUUGGGUUUAAAGGGUGCGUAGGCGGAACAUUAAGUCAGCGGUAAAAUCGAGGGGCUCAACCCCUUUAAGCCGUGGAAACUGGUGAGCUUGAGUGGGCGAGAAGUAUGCGGAAUGCGUGGUGUAGCGGUGAAAUGCAUAGAUAUCACGCAGAACUCCGAUUGCGAAGGCAGCAUACCGGCGCCCGACUGACGCUGAGGCACGAAAGCGUGGGGAUCGAACAGGAUUAGAUACCCGAGUAGUC
rnacentral:rRNA from 1 species